rnacentral:rRNA from 1 species
AGUCAAUAGAUACCCCGGUAGUCCACGCCGUAAACGAUGAGUACUAGGUGUAGGAGGUAUCGACUCCUUCUGUGCCGCAGUUAAACACAAUAAGUACUCCGCCUGGGAAGUACGGUCGCAAGAUUAAAACUCAAAGGAAUUGACGGGGGCCCGCACAAGCAGCGGAGCAUGUGGUUUAAUUCGAAGCAACGCGAAGAACCUUACCUAGACUUGACAUCUCCUGAAUAGCGCAGAGAUGCGUGAAGCCCUUCGGGGCAGGAAGACAGGUGGUGCAUGGUUGUCGUCAGCUCGUGUCGUGAGAUGUUGGGUUAAGUCCCGCAACGAGCGCAACCCCGUAUUAUUAGUUGCUACCAUUAAGUUGAGCACUCUAAUGAGACUGCCCGGGUUAACCGGGAGGAAGGCGGGGAUGACGUCAAAUCAUCAUGCCCCUUAUGUCUAGGGCUACACACGUGCUACAAUGGUGAGAACAACGAGAUGCAAUACCGCGA